UGGGGAAUAUUGGACAAUGGGCGGAAGCCUGAUCCAGCAACGCCGCGUGAGGGAUGACGGCCUUCGGGUUGUAAACCUCUUUCAGUACCGACGAAGCGCAAGUGACGGUAGGUACAGAAGAAGCACCGGCCAGCUACGUGCCAGCAGCCGCGGUAAUACGUAGGGUGCGAGCGUUGUCCGGAAUUAUUGGGCGUAAAGGGCUCGUAGGCGGUUUGUCGCGUCGGGAGUGAAAACACCGGGCUUAACUCGGUGCUUGCUUUCGAUACGGGCAGACUAGAGGCAUUCAGGGGAGAACGGAAUUCCUGGUGUAGCGGCGAAAUGCGCAGAUAUCAGGAGGAACACCGGUGGCGAAGGCGGUUCUCUGGGAAUGUUCUGACGCUGAGGAGCGAAAGUGUGGGGAGCGAACAGGAUUAGAUACCCUGGUAGUCCACACCGUAAACGUUGGGCGCUAGGUGUGGGGCCUAUUCCAUGGGUUCCGUGCCGUAGCUAACGCAUUAAGCGCCCCGCCUGGGGAGUACGGCCGCAAGGCUAA
rnacentral:rRNA from 1 species